AUUGAACGCUGGCGGCAUGCUUUACACAUGCAAGUCGAACGGCAGCGCGGGCUUCGGCCUGGCGGCGAGUGGCGAACGGGUGAGUAAUACAUCGGAACGUGCCCAGUAGUGGGGGAUAGCUCGGCGAAAGCCGGAUUAAUACCGCAUACGACCUGAGGGUGAAAGCGGGGGAUCUUCGGACCUCGCGCUAUUUGAGCGGCCGAUGGCAGAUUAGCUAGUUGGUGGGGUAAAGGCCUACCAAGGCGACGAUCUGUAGCUGGUCUGAGAGGACGACCAGCCACACUGGGACUGGGACACGGCCCAGACUCCUACGGGAGGCAGCAGUGGGGAAUUUUGGGCAAUGGGCGAAAGCCUGAUCCAGCAAUGCCGCGUGUGUGAUGAAGGCCUUCGGGUUGUAAAGCACUUUUGGCGGGAACGAAAAGGACUGUGCCAAUACCACGGUUCGAUGACGGUACCCGCAGAAUAAGCACCGGCUAACUACGUG
rnacentral:rRNA from 1 species